GUAGGGACCAAGCGUUAUCCGGAAUUAUUGGGCGUAAAGGGUGCGUAGGCGGCCAUGUAAGUCUAAGUUAAAGCCACAGCUUAACUGUGGAAGGUGCUUAGAAACUGUAUGGGCUUGAAUUCAGAAGAGGCAAGUGGAAUUCUAUGUGGAGCGGUGGAAUGCGUAGAUAUAUGGAGGAACACCAGUGGCGAAGGCGGCUUGCUGGGCUGAUAUUGACGCUGAUGCACGAAAGCGUGGGGAGCAAACAGGAUUAGAUACCCUGGUAGUCCACGCCGUAAACGAUGAGUACUAAGUGUUGGAGAAUUCAGUGCUGAACUUAACAGAUUAAGUACUCGCCUGGGAUUACGACCGCAAGGUUG
rnacentral:rRNA from 1 species